rnacentral:rRNA from 1 species
AUGGAUUUCUCCAUCCUAAGCUGGAAUGUGCGGGGACUGAACAACCCCGCGAAAAGGAAGGCCGUGCAGACUUUUGUGUCUGAUCUGAAAUGCAACAUUGUUUGUUUACAAGAGACGAAGAUCAGUGAUCUGACCAAUGCGCUGGUAGUUGAGACCCUGGGGCCAAGAUUCAGAGACAACUUCAUUUCCCUGCCGGCGGUUGGCUCCAGAGGAGGCAUUCUCAUCGCAUGUCCCGAUGAUUUCGAAAUCACUGUUGCUCCUAUGCCUGUCAGUGUUUACUGUGUCUCUGCCACGGUAAGAUGCAAAUCUGAUGGAGAAGUUUGGUCGAUCGCCGGUGUCUACGGGCCGCAGAUGGAAGCAGAGAAGAUCUUGUUCAUUGAUGAAAUGAAGAGUUUAAGCCAGCUUGUGCUGCCACGGUGGAUGAUGCUUGGAGACUUUAACAUGAUUUACAGAGCCAAUGACAAGAACAACAACAAUUUAAAUUUGCGCAUGAUGGGUCGCUUUAGGACUGCCAUAGAGGACAUGGGGCUAAUUGAUCUUCCACUCCUUGGAAGGUGUUUUACAUGGUCCAGUGAGCGGGAAAAUGUCACGCUCACUAAAAUUGAUAGAAUGCUUGUGUCCAGUGAUUGGGAGGCUUCAUUCCCAUAG